UUUCAGUUUUUUCCUCGGAGGCAAACCUUGCGUUGUCUGUCGUGAUUUGGAAUUAAUAAAACUUAUACAAAUAAAGGACUUUAAAAGUUUUAUGAAUAGAGAUUUGUUACUUCCAGAUGCAGGAAUUCCUAAUAAUAACGUGCUUAACUCACUUCCGCUUCAAAAGGAUGAAGAUUGGAGAAUUAGCAGAAAUAUAUUGAGCACAAGUUUCAGUACCGCUAAACUGAAGA